UCUGGUGGUAGCAGCUGGAAGG
rnacentral:miRNA from 1 species